rnacentral:rRNA from 1 species
CGUACACUCCUACGGGAGGCAGCAGUGGGGAAUUUUGGACAAUGGGCGAAAGCCUGAUCCAGCCAUCCCGCGUGCAGGAAGACGGCCCUAUGGGUUGUAAACUGCUUUUAUCUGGGGAUAAACCUACUUACGUGUAAGUAGCUGAAGGUACCAGAAGAAUAAGCACCGGCUAACUCCGUGCCAGCAGCCGCGGUAAUACGGAGGGUGCAAGCGUUAUCCGGAUUUAUUGGGUUUAAAGGGUCCGUAGGCGGACUGAUAAGUCAGUGGUGAAAUCCGACAGCUUAACUGUCGAACUGCCAUUGAUACUGUUAGUCUUGAGUAAGGUUGAAGUGGCUGGAAUAAGUAGUGUAGCGGUGAAAUGCAUAGAUAUUACUUAGAACACCAAUUGCGAAGGCAGGUCACUAAGUCUUAACUGACGCUGAUGGACGAAAGCGUGGGGAGCGAACAGGAUUAGAAACCCGAGUAGUCCCAUGA